CCCCUCUCAGGGUCACAUCUGGAGAGUUCCCAGUACUCUACCAGUCAUGACUACAGGAGGUUGAGUCAAGCAGAAGCCUACUCAUUUCAUUACUAGCUUGGGCAAUGGCUAGCGAGUGGAAGGCAAUCUGUGACCGGU